CGCACAUUGCGCCUUUUGGUAUUCCGAAAGGCACGUCCGUUUGAGCGUCAUUAAAACCCUCAUGGAGCAAUUCAUGGUAUUGGGGGCGGCCUGGCUGCCCCUUGAAUCAGUAACCGGCACCGGGAGACUAAUAAUCUAUCUGUCAACCACGGCCGUGAUCCGGGACGGAGGCACGAAGUGCCGGAGUCCCUUGCUCUUGACCUCAAAUCGGAUGAGGAUACCCGCUGAACUUAA
rnacentral:misc_RNA from 1 species